UUCAUGCAUGGAAAUUAGUUAAAUGAAAAAAAAUAUAUAUGUGUGUGAAGCAAGGUUGCCUUUCCUUGAAUAGGUGCCAAGUUUUUUCUGCCAAGAAUUACAAUGACCAAGCUCAAGAUCUUCUCUCCAACUUCUUUUCACUAGAUCUUUUUUCUUCUGCCUCUCGCCGUUUCUGCUGCACGAAAGCUGUGUAUCCGGCACCGACAUUAGCAGCAGACAAAAGAGUUGCAUGGGCUGUAACAGUGGAUAAAGAAUCCUGUCCACCAGUUGGUAGAAGAUUUCUUCCAUCACCAUCCACCUUAUCCCACUUUGACUUCUUGUUUUGUCUACCAUCCCGAGCAAUAGCAUCAGUUGUGGUUGAUGUGGAAUGCAACCCACUGGAAGCAGCAGCUGGAAUAGGCAGGGGAAACUUCAGUGGGG
rnacentral:misc_RNA from 1 species